rnacentral:rRNA from 1 species
UACGAAGGGGAGCUAGCGUUGUUCGGAAUCACUGGGCGUAAAGCGCACGUAGGCGGAUUUGUCAGUCAGGGGUGAAAUCCCGGGGCUCAACCUCGGAACUGCCUUUGAUACAGCAAGUCUUGAGUUCGAGAGAGGUGGGUGGAAUUCCUAGUGUAGAGGUGAAAUUCGUAGAUAUUAGGAAGAACACCGGUGGCGAAGGCGGCCCACUGGCUCGAUACUGACGCUGAGGUGCGAAAGCGUGGGGAGCAAACAGG